rnacentral:tRNA from 1 species
UCCUUCUUAGCUCAGUUGGUAGAGCGCGUCACUAGUAGCAAUAAACUACUUAUGACGAGGUCAGUCGUUCAAGUCGGCUAGAAGGAA